rnacentral:rRNA from 1 species
UACGUAGGGACCGAGCGUUGUCCGGAUUCAUUGGGCGUAAAGAGCUCGUAGGCGGCUGCUCAAGUCGAAUGUGAAACCUCGAGGCUUAACCUCGAGCCUGCAUUCGAUACUGGGCGGCUAGAGUCUGGUAGGGGGAUCUGGAAUUCCUGGUGUAGCGGUGGAAUGCGCAGAUAUCAGGAGGAACACCGGUGGCGAAGGCAGCCUCCUGGGCCAGCACUGACGCUCAUGCACGAAAGCGUGGGGAGCAAACAGG